rnacentral:rRNA from 1 species
CUCGGCUCUCGCAUCGAUGAAGAACGUAGCGAAAUGCGAUACUUGGUGUGAAUUGCAGAAUCCCGUGAACCAUCGAGUCUUUGAACGCAAGUUGCGCCCCAAGCCUUCUGGCCGAGGGCACGUCUGCCUGGGUGUCACAAAUCGUCGUCCCCACCCUUUGCGGA